AAAAAAAGCAGAUUUUCUACAGAAUGCAAAUUUCCCCCACAAGAGAUGGCUUUUCAGGGCCAUUCCAAAAUAUGUCAAAGAAAUAUAUUUUGGAGUAAAACACUUUGAUGUCCUUC